CAGCAGCCACGGGAAUACGGAGGGGGCUAGCGUUGUUCGGAAUUACUGGGCGUAAAGCGUGCGUAGGCGGUUCGUUAAGUCUGCUGUGAAAGCCCGGGGCUCAACCCCGGAACUGCCUUUGAAACUAGGUAACUAGAAUCUUGGAGAGGUCAGUGGAAUUCCGAGUGUAGAGGUGAAUUUCGUAGAUAUUCGGAAGAACACCAGUGGCGAAGGCGACUGACUGGACAAGUAUUGACGCUGAGGUGCGAAAGCGUGGGGAGCAAACAGGAUUAGAUACCCCGGUAGUCCCUGUCUCUUAUAC
rnacentral:rRNA from 1 species